rnacentral:rRNA from 1 species
GGUCAAGUUAUUAAGGGCUUACGGUGGAUGCCUUGGGACCAAGGGCCGAUGAAGGGCGCGGUAAGGCUGCGAUAAGCCUCGAUGAGCCGUCUAACAGGCAUAGUCGAGGGUUCCCGAAUGGGGAAACCUGUUCCGGUGUUGAGCCGGUUCAUCCCGAUGCAAAUCGGGAGGGUAAGCGGGGGAACUGAAACAUCUAAGUACCCCGAGGAAAAUAAAUCAACCGAGAUUCCCUGAGUAGUGGCGAACGAAAGGGGAAUAGCCCAAACCAGUACGACUUAGUGGCAUGAGGGCCUAUGUCGUAUCGGGGUUGUAGGGAGCACCUUGGGUCACCUCAUUAGACCUGAAGGAGUUACAAAUCUCGUCUCUAGCCGAAGGCGCCUGGGAAGGACCGUCAUAGAGGGUGAAAGCCCCGUAGGCGAAAGAGUCGAGACUCCUGGUGCCCACCCUGAGUACCACGGGGCACGUGAAACCUUGUGGGAAGCUGGGGGGACCACCCUCCAAGGCUAAAUACCCUUGGUCACCGAUAGCGUACCAGUACCGUGAGGGAAAGGUGAAAAGAACCCCUAGCGGGGAGUGAAAUAGAUCUGAAACCGUAAGCCUACAGAAGGUCGUAGCCCUGACUUCGGUCGGGGUGGCGGCGUGCCUAUUGAAGAAUGAUCCGGGGACUUACUGUAUGGAGCGAGGUUAAGGGACUGGAGUCCCGGAGCCGUAGCGAAAGCGAGUCUGAAUAGGGCGGCUAGUUCCAUGUAGUAGACUCGAAACCGGGUGAGCUACCCAUGGCCAGGUUGAAGGUUCGUUAACGCGCACUGGAGGACCGAACUCGUGGCUAGUACAAAAGCUUGGGAUGAGCUGUGGGUAGAGGUGAAAUGCCAAUCGAACUCGGAAAUAGCUAGUUCUCCCCGAAAUGCAUUUAGGUGCAGCCUCGGGCACAGGUGGACGGAGGUAGGGCACUGAAUGGGCUAGGGGGCGUGAGCUUACCAAACCCAAUCAAACCACCAAUGCCGUCCAACCGAUACCCGGGAGUGAGACUGCCACAGAUAAGUGCGGUAGUCGAAAGGGAAACAGCCCAGACCACCGGCUAAGGCCCCUAAGUUCAAGCUAAGUGGGAAAGGAAGUGAGGUUCCUCAGACAACCAGGAGGUUGGCUUAGAAGCAGCCAUCCUUUGAAGAGUGCGUAACAGCUCACUGGUCGAGGAGUCUGGCGCCGAAAAUGUAACGGGGCUUAAGUUUGACGCCGAAGCCGUGGAUGUUCAGGUGCAAGGGUAAAGAUCCCACCCCCAAAGGUGGAGCCAAUAGGGAAACCCGCAAUAGGGAAACCCGGCAACGGGCAACCUGACGGUGGGGGAACCUGGCGGCAAAGCCGGCGGGAGAGGGAUUGGAGCCUUUGGAGAACGCCUGGGCGUGGUAGGGGAGCGUUCCUCGGGCAACGAAGGUGAGCCGUGAGGUUCACUGGAGCGCGGGGAAGUGAGAAUCCCGGAAUGAGUAGCGUAAACUAGGGUGAAAAUCCCUGGCGCCGAAAGCCCAAGGUUUCCUACGCAACGUUUAUCGGCGUAGGGUUAGUCGGUCCUAAGCCGUAGGCAAGCGCCGAAGGCGAUGGACAGCAGGUUAAUAUUCCUGCACCGCCGUUGUUUCGCUUUAAAACCAAGGAGGGGUGCGGAAGGGUAGGUAGAGCAUGCCUAUUGGACAUGGUGUGUCCUCAACUGUAGGCGAGUCGGGGCAGGUAAAUCCACUCCGGCGUUAAGCAGAGGGUUGAGGGAAUCGAGCCUUCGGGCUACGAAACUCUGUUGAACCCAAACCGACUAGAAAAGCUUCGUGGUUAUGGAGCAAUGGCGACCGUACCGGAAACCGCCACUGGUGGGCAAGGAUAAAAGUCCUAAGGCGUUCGAGCUAACCUCCGCUAAGGAACUAGACAAAAGAGCCCUGUAACUUUGGGAGAAAGGGCCCCCCGGGGGGUGAAGCCACUAGCUGGUGGAGCGUUCUGGGGGCGCAGAGAAGAAGGCCGGGCGACUGUUUAACAAAAACACAGGUCU